CUUAUUGAGAGUUUGAUCCUAGCUCAGGGUGAAUGCUGGCGGCGUGGAUAAGUCAUGCAAGUCAAGGGGACCUAGGCUUGUCCGCAAGGAUAGGUCCAAGGUAACCGGCAGACGAGGUAGUAACACGUAGGUACGUCCCCCGAAGUCGGGCAUAGCCAGCCGAAAGGUUGGGUAAUUCCCGAUAGUCCCGGAUACCAACUGUGUCAUGGUCUUGAACUCGCAAGGGUAAACCCGUACACCAACUCUGGCAUUGCGCCGGAGGCCGUCGUACGGGAAUCACAAGCGAGCGUGAGUGCCGAGAAAAUCGCGAUUGCAAGAGAGCAGUCGAGAUGCGGCGCAAACCAAGACGAUGCCAGAGUUGGUGUCCGGGUAAAGGUUUUUCGCUUCGGGAGCGGCCUGCGUAGUAUCAGCUAGUUGGUAGGGUAACGGCCUACCAAGGCUACGACGCUUAGGGGAGCUGAGAGGCUGACCCCCACCGAUGGAACUGCGAUAAAUUGUUGUCGCCUGGGGAGCAAUCCCCAGUAAAAAUCUUGCUCAUAACGGUGGAGCCUGACUGAUGGGUAUAUAAUUGUACCCAUCAAAGGUAAUACCGUGGGAAGUCAGCACUAUCUUUCAGACGAGUACUUAGCCGGGUUCUUGGACGGAGACGGGUCCGUUGUGGCGACGCUUGAGCGUUACCGCAGCAGACGCUUCCCGUACCGUGUGUGCAUCAAGGUGAAUUUCACCCAACAUGCGCGACACGUCGAUAAACUGAUGCUGAUGCAAGAAACGCUCGGAGGUUACGGAGUGGUCCGUACCAAUGCGCGGAAAAAUCUUGCGGAGCUGGUUAUUCAGAACCGAGGCGAAGUGCAGGCGGUGCUCGUGCGUCUCGUGCCGUUUCUUCUGAUAAAGAAAGACCAGGCAAACCUGGCUCUUGAGGUAUUGGAAGGAAUGAGCUCUAACGAGAAGCAUAAACCGAGCACGCUGUCUGAAAGAGCGUAUAUUCGUAUCCUGUCAUUAGUGCAGGACAUUCGCGGUCUGAACUCCCUUACGGGAGGGAAGCGCGAGAUACGAGUGUUUGACCCCGUAACGACUGGAAUUCCGGAGAACCCCGGAAUGAAGACGGAAUCUUUGGAUUCUGUAAGACGCAAGCCCCUCGCACGAACGGGGGUGAAAGUAUAGUCUGUGCCAUAAGAAAUUAUGGAAUGAAACGACGGUCCAUACUCCUACGGGAGGCUGCAGACGAGAAUAUUCCGCAAUGGACGAAAGUCUGACGGAGCGACGCCGCGUGAUGGAUGAAGUGCCUUGGUACGUAAACAUCUUUUAUCGGGGACGAAGUUUAUUGACGGUACCC
rnacentral:rRNA from 1 species